UAGCCGUAAACGAAUACUCGCUAGGUGUCGGCCACGGUGCGACCGUUGUCGGUGCCGUAGGGAAGCCGUGAAGCGAGCCACCUGGGAAGUACGGCCGCAAGGCUGAAACUUAAAGGAAUUGGCGGGGGGAGGCACCACAACGGGUGGAGCCUGCGGUUUAAUUUGGACUCAACGCCGGGAAGCUCACCGGAUAAGACAGCGGAAUGAUUGCCGGGCUGAAGACCCUGCAUGACCAGCUGAGAGGAGGUGCAUGGCGUAGUCGUGU
rnacentral:rRNA from 1 species